rnacentral:tmRNA from 1 species
GGGGAUGACUGGCUUCGACGGGGGAGGUACGUGUCCAUGUGCACGCCGAGCAUGAUCGCUAGCUCGUAAAUCCGUGAUCAAACUGAAAGUGCCAACAAACGCACAGGAGUUGCUUCUCCAUACUUUGGAGCAAACAGCUUCGCAUUCGCUUACGCUUAAGUAACGACGUGUCCCGGGAAUACUCCUGAUAGGCUCGAGCGACAUGUCAUAUCAUCAGGAUAAGUUGCGUAGUGUCCGACUACGCGAACGAAAAUCAAGGACUAGGUUAGAGUACGUAUUUCGUUUGCUUCACAUCGUACUUGCCGAAUAAAAUAAAGCAUACUACGCGCUGUAGAUGCAUGUCACACUACCCUUCCGGACGGGGGUUCGAUUCCCCCCAUCUCCACAA